rnacentral:sRNA from 1 species
GGAUUACUCCUUUACGCUUUCGCGUUUGGUUGAUAAAGAUUCGCACCUCUAUCAAACCGGGUAAUCCCACCUCUUGGCAAGACCUGCUGUCAGAUCAAAUCUGAACUACUACAUAUGAAGCGUUAACUGAUCAUGGUAAAAAUGUAAGCCCACCGCUAGCAGAUCGUUUCAAUUGGCUGACAGCAGCUCGUCACCUUCAAACAUAUAAAUCUUUAAGAGCGCGCUUAAAGACAAAUCUGUAU